UACGUAGGGCGCAAGCGUUUAUCCGGAAUUAUUGGGCGUAAAGAGCUCGUAGGCGGUUUGUCGCGUCUGCCGUGAAAGUCCGGGGCUCAACUCCGGAUCUGCGGUGGGUACGGGCAGACUAGAGUGAUGUAGGGGAGACUGGAAUUCCUGGUGUAGCGGUGAAAUGCGCAGAUAUCAGGAGGAACACCGAUGGCGAAGGCAGGUCUCUGGGCCGG
rnacentral:rRNA from 1 species